rnacentral:rRNA from 1 species
AGAGUUUGAUCAUGGCUCAGGAUGAACGCUAGCUACAGGCUUAACACAUGCAAGUCGAGGGGAAACGACAUCGAAAGCUUGCUUUUGAUGGGCGUCGACCGGCGCACGGGUGAGUAACGCGUGGGCAACCUGCCUCACACUGGGGGAUAACAGUUAGAAAUAGCUGCUAAUACCGCAUAAGCGCACGGUUCCGCAUGGAACAGUGUGAAAAACUCCGGUGGUGUGAGAUGGACCCGCGUCUGAUUAGCCAGUUGGCGGGGUAACGGCCCACCAAAGCGACGAUCAGUAGCCGGCCUGAGAGGGUGAACGGCCACAUUGGGACUGAGACACGGCCCAAACUCCUACGGGAGGCAGCA